UACGAAGGGGGCUAGCGUUGUCCGGAAUUACUGGGCGUAAAGAGCUCGUAGGUGGUUUGUCGCGUUGUUCGUGAAAACUCACAGCUCAACUGUGGGCGUGCGGGCGAUACGGGCAGACUGGAGUACUGCAGGGGAGACUGGAAUUCCUGGUGUAGCGGUGGAAUGCGCAGAUAUCAGGAGGAACACCGGUGGCGAAGGCGGGUCUCUGGGCAGUAACUGACGCUGAGGAGCGAAAGCGUGGGGAGCGAACAGG
rnacentral:rRNA from 1 species